CCUCAACCGCGCCAUGUUCCUCGUCUAGGCGUUCCGGACCGGCCCGGGGAGCGUCCUCCGGUAGUUCCGAGCGCGGUAGUCCGAGGAGUUCGUGUUCGCGUACAUGCUCCUCGUCGCGUUGGAGCUGGUCCAGCCGAAGCGGCGGCUGCCGGAGUUCCUGCACGUCGAUUGGCUACCGCGGACUCCUCCCCCACGAGCUGGUACCGACGACGACCCCUACGUAGUCGGUACAUAGAAUGAGAGACCGACAUCCACUGGUUGUGGCUCCCCGACGGAGAGCACAUGUCGGGGCUCUAGUAAAGCCGGAUGACCCCGUUUGCGGGUCCGCGGCAGCGGUGGGCUCGCCACUUCGAGAACAGGCACCGGCCACCAAAGUAGAGGGUGUAGUAUAGUCUGGAGUAGUGGCUGUUUUAGUUCCUC
rnacentral:rRNA from 1 species